rnacentral:lncRNA from 1 species
UAAAAAGUGGGAAGCAAGCCUCAUCAGAACACGAACAUUUUCCGAAGGUAGUAAGAGCUUCGAGGUCGAGGGUUCUCGACGAAGAUCGCGGCGGCAGCAAGCGCGGGGAUGGAUGGAUGGAGGUUGAAAUAGGAAGCUUCUACAAUGGUGAGUGUGAUGAGAAGGAUGUAAGGAUGAGCCUAAGAGAAGUGAAGGGUGUGCAUCUUAAGGCUGGACUUAUUGUUGAGGGAAUUGAGCUUAGGCCUAAACAAUAAUGUCACAAGUGUCAUCAUGUGAGAUG